rnacentral:rRNA from 1 species
UACGUAGGGUGCGAGCGUUGUCCGGAAUUACUGGGCGUAAAGAGCUCGUAGGUGGUUUGUCGCGUUGUUCGUGAAAACUCACAGCUUAACUGUGGGCGUGCGGGCGAUACGGGCAGACUGGAGUACUGCAGGGGAGACUGGAAUUCCUGGUGUAGCGGUGGAAUGCGCAGAUAUCAGGAGGAACACCGGUGGCGAAGGCGGGUCUCUGGGCAGUAACUGACGCUGAGACACGAAAGCGUGGGGUAGCAAACAGG